UUUCUUUUUUACAGGUGAAACAAAUUUUUGAUUUUGAUGGGCAAACACUUGCCUCAUGUCUCUUUUUUCUAUACUUAAAACAUAUUUUAAAUUGUUCUUUUUGGUUCUGUUUUUAAUUUAUCUCAACUGUGGAAGCUUGUAGGUUAAUGAUCUUGAACGGUUUCCACAGGGCUUCGAAGGGUCAAGGGCCUUGGGGAGAUUCUUCCAAAAAUUAAAUGCAAAUUGAAUUCAUAAUUGGUUCAGUUCAUAAGAAGAAAUAUGAUUACUUUGGCGACUGCCACAAGUGUUAUGGGGUGUCGAUAAGGGGACGGACCUGGGCGCCGCCAUCCUAGGGAGAGACAAAAUGGAGGAUUCCAGGUCUGGGUUUCCAGUUCCACCUUCCUCCGAAGGAGGUCCCUCCAUAAAAGAGGGUGAUCUCCCAAGAAGGAGGGUCCCCUGACGGGAGGCCCCAUAGGCGAUCCUCCCCCCAGAGGAGGAGCCGGAAUAAGGAAUGGGGGAUGGUCCAACCCCACCUUCCAACAAAGGGCACUGGCCCCACACGCGAUUCGUGCAGGGGCCUCUGCGGAAGGGGUGGGGCUGGCGGGAAACUUGGGGCCGGAGAAGAAGGGUCCAGGCAGGAAAGGGUGUUCCAAGCGGCGUGGCCAUCACCACCUUGGAAAGGAGUGCCGAGUGCACUGCAGUUCCCUCAAGAGAUCUGAACAGUGUCCAGCGGGGUGCUUGGGGUGCUGUGGCCAACACCAUCCCCAAGGGAGUGUGAAAGACAAUAGCAUAGUUUUUGUUCAUCAGGAAAAGCCCCAGGGAUUGUGUAAGUCACAGGAAACAGUGGGGCAGGAGGGCAGGAUGUACUGCUAUUAGUAGAUAGUGGAAUUGAGAGAUCUUUGAAAGCUGCGUUACCAUAUUUGGAGAAGUUAUUGCAGGGUUAACGCUACCUUGGAGGAAGAAGAAUAGGAGCUUUCCUCAAACAACCACCGGACAGCAGAAAAAAGACCCCUAGCAACACGCCGCGCAGAUGCAGAGCACGUCGAGAAUAUCACAAAGUCUGGAACUGAAGGGGUAUAAGAACUGAAAGACCGGGAGGUGCGGGGCGAGCCGUUGGUGGGAGCAGAGGCUCCCCCGCCGCCCAGCGCUGCAUUUGCCCGUACUGCUUGCUUGCUAAAUUAAUAAAAUUCUCUUUAUAAAGUGACACAAAUUGGUCCCGUGUCAUAAUUUAUAACAAUAUUUGGUGCCGUGACUUGGAUAGAGAAAUAGCCUGGUUGUUCUGGGACCCUCGGGAGGCGCCCCGCCUUUUUUUGGCGGCCCGAUUGUCCCAGACCUCCCGGUUUCUCUACUGAUGAAACUAAAUUAAGCUGCGGGCAAAGGAGAGCCGGUUAAAAGGAGAACCGGUUACCCCUGUAAACCUUGUGCACGAAGAUCCGAGCGAAGACGCAGGACGCAAACUGCUAUCAGAACAGCUGAGAAGGGGUGGACUCAUGCGAGCCACGUCAAAGGUCCAGUCACCACAGACGACCACUGGAAAGUGACCAGCCAGCCUGGGGACUUGGAGGUUACCAUUAAGAGAAACUGAUGAACUCUGUAUACAUCAUUCAAGUCGGUCACAAAGGGGAGCAAGAGGGAUAUAAUUACCUGCUUGUUAGUGAUUAUUUGAUAAUUUGUAAUAAGGUAAACUGUGAUUGUUAUCCGUUUGUAUGCUUUGCAUGUAAAGUUUGCCAAGAACGGUGGGGAGUCCAGUGCCGAAGGGGGAGGCUGCCCACUGGGGUUUGUACAGAAUGUUACACGACUGAUCGAGAAUUAACCGAGGCUGUGUUGAAAUUAGGGGAGUGGGAAAUCAGUGGAUUCCCUUUGAAUCUGAGGAAAAUUUACACCAGAGGGGUGCAUCCAGAAAACUUUUGUUUGCACUCUAACGACCCCCACCAUUUGUUGCCCAAAUUAUAAAAGAGUGUUGUUGAAGGGAACUAAAGGGGGUCCCGUGUGACCCACCCCCGGUCAAGGAUAAGAACUGGGAACAGUACAAGGUUAGGCAGGAGCAGGGGAAUGGGCGCUCAGGCGAGUACCGCUGCUGCCGAGAAGAUGGUUUACCCCGCGGCUCGAAGCACCCGAGUCGGCGGGCGAGGCAGAGGGGAAAGAGCCAGGCCCC